UAGCUUAGAUGGUAAAGAAUCUGCCUGUAAUGCAGGAGACCCAGGUUUGAUCCCUGG
rnacentral:tRNA from 1 species